rnacentral:rRNA from 1 species
UACCAUGUUAAUCGAGCGGACAGAUGGGAGCUCUGCUCCCUGUAUGUUAGCGGCGGACGGGUGAGUAACACGUGGGUAACCUGCCUGUAAGACUGGGAUAACUCCGGGAAACCGGGGCGUAAUACCCGGGAUGUUUGUUGAAACCGCAUGGUUCAGACAUAUAAAGGUGGCUUCGGCUACCACUGUACAGAUGGACCCGCGGCGCAUUAGCUAGUUGGUGAGGUAACGGCUCACCAAGGCGACGAUGCGUAUGCCGACCUGAGAGGGUGAUCGGCCAUCAUCUGGGACUGAGACACGGCCCAGACUCCUACGGGAGGCAUGCAGUAGGGAAUCUUCCGCAAUGGACGAUAAGUCUGACGGAUGCAAACGCCGCCGUGAGUGAUGAACGGUUUUCCGGAUCGUAAAGCUCUGUUGUUAGGAGAAGAACAGAGUGCCGUUCAAAUAGGGCGGACCUUGACGGUUACCUAACCCAGAAA